rnacentral:lncRNA from 1 species
AGGGCCGCUCCUGCGGCAUAUGGAGGUUCCCAGGCUAGGGGUCUAAUCACAGCUGUAGCCACUGGCCUAUGCCACAGCCACAGCUAUGCCAGGUCCAAGCUGCGUCUGGAACCUACACCACAGCUCACGGCAAUGCUGGAUCCUUAACCCACUGAGCAAGGCCAGGAGAUCAAACCCGCAACCUCAUGGCUCCUAGUUGGGUUGGUUAACCACUGUGCCACGCAAUCCUCAGAAAAGCAACAUUUAUUAAAUCAGGAGAUUACAAUAUCAAUGGGAAGUUAUCAUGCAAUAACCUUCUAUUGAUUUGUGUAUUGCCAGUAAUGAAAUCAUCUGGAAUAUUAUUUAUUAAACAUAUUGAUUAGCAAAAAAUAAUUUGCAGGAACGGGAGCCUGACUCUGCAGGGCAUCCCACCAAGCUCUGGGUGUACACACAAUUUUCCCUUUUUGCUGGGGGAAGAGCCAUACUGAGUGUUGGACCUAACAGAAAACUAGCUCCAAGAUGCAGCGUCCUCAUGAGUGGGCACCAUUGUGGGUGGUGGACUGGCAGCCUACUAGACUGACCCUCGGUGUCUGUGCAAUCAGCCAGGGAGGGCCUGGGACAAGCAGCCAUUGUUUCUCCAUUAAAAGGAUGGAUGAACUAGUAAUUGGUACUUACUCCUGCUUAUCCCAGGGACAGAGGGAUGGAGUGGGGAACUGAGGGGUGGGGCAAAGUCUAGAGGAAGAGCAUUUUGACUCAGGUUCCUCCCAAAGCAGAUGCUAGGAUGAGAAAGUUGGGUGCAGGUAAUUAACUUGGGAGGUGACCCCAGGAAGCAUAGUGAAUGAGAAAGAAGGAAAGGGAAACAGGAGGGAGCAGAGUCAUCGGUGAUGUGUUAUUGAUGGGAUGUGGUUGUCAAUAACUGGGGCUCAGUUCUGCGGGAUGAUCCUCCAAGAGGUGUGUGUGCCGCUUCUCAGAAUUGUCCCCCCAAAGGGCAAAGAAGGGGCAUUUACUAGUAGUUCUUGCCCCUCAUUGGCUGAGGGCUGCUCCUUGUUGCCUUCAUUUUCCAGCAUCUCUGGCAUUUCUAGACUAUUCCACAUGCUCGCUGAACAUGUUUCCCAGGCAGUGUGUAGCCUCAGACAGAAAAAAGUGGGUGCUUGAGCUAGCGGGCUUCCUGAUGUAUGGGAGCUGUCCAGCGCAGCUGGGGGUGUGCAAGGCUCUGAUGGGAUGACGGAGGUACCCCGACAGGGUCUCUACAGACUACCAAGGGUCAAUCAAGGGCAGGUUCUCUCUGCAGCUGCCUUUGACCUUUAACUCCUGCCUCACAGGGUCUCGGGAACCUGAGUCCUCUCUCUUCCUUGGACAGGAUCCGGGAUUUUCACAGACUGAUCCAGGAAGGGCAGUAGUGAAAUUAACAACCCAUUGCUGAGUGCUUAGUAAAUGCCAUCGCCCUUGCCUAUAAUUUCGUUCUGAGAAGAAUGGCUCUGAGCCAUGUGAUCUGGAACUGGACUGCCAGGUAUGGCAUCCUGGCUUUAUUUCUACUCAUUCUGUGACCCAGAAUGAGGAAUGUAACCUCUCUGAUCCUCAGUGUCCUUGUCUACUAUGGGGGUAAUAGUAGUCCCUGACCCAUAGGCAAUUGUGUGGAUUAAAUGAUAUAAUAAGGAGCGCCCGCUGUGGCACAGUGGGUUGAGGAUCCAGCAUUGCUGCAGCUGUGGUGCAGGGUUCUACCCUGGCCAGGGAACUUCCAUAUGCUGUGGAAAUAAAUAAAUAAAUAAAAAAUAAAUAAAUAACAUUAGGAAAGUUGGUUAUAACAUAGUGAUUUUAGUGUAUGUGUGUGUGUGUGUAUAUAUACACACACACACACAUACACACACACACACACAUAUAUAUCAUCACCAUUAAAAAUAUGUACAUAUAUAUUUUAGUGUAUGUACACACACACACACACACACACACACACACAAACAUACACGUGUAUAUAUAUAUAUUCUCCAUUACUCAGUUCUGGAAUACAUGGCCUUAAGAUGAUGGCUCCGUGCUGUGCCCAACCUAUUGGUUUGUUUCAUCCCCUGCCCUUUUCUGCUCUGUUCUGUAUCACAAGAGAACUGAUUCUUAGAGACUGCCUUUUCUGGACUCUGCAUCAAAUUGCUUCUGGCUGGAUUUAGCCAAAUGGAGGGUGGGAGGAGAGGAGAGGCCAGGAUUCUUCUUCUCUGUCUAGUGUGGCAGCAGUUGUGUUUCCUUGGUGGCUCCUGUUCUUAUGGGACACUUUCCAUCGGAUGACCUUGGUCCCUUGGCUCCAGUAACCCUACCUUCUCCCUCUACCCCUAAGGGUAGUGGCAACUUCCUGCUGUUGUCAACCUCUGGGUUUCCUUAUUUUCAUUUCUUUCAUCACCAGUAUAGCCAAUUUCCUGGAAUAAAUUCCCUCUUUUAAAUGCAUAACUGGCUUGCUUUCCUGGCUCAACCUUGACUGAUACAUAUACUUCAGCCUGAUAAUGUUUCCAUCUCUGACAUAAUGUUGUGAUUCCACCACUGAGGUCUUUGAUCUUUGUGCUAAGGUUUUUGCGCUACACACACAAACUGGCCAGGGCAGUGGUGAGGAGACAUGGGGUCAAGGUGAUUGAGAAAACAAACAAACAAACAAUUAUCAAUCACCUGCCCAAAUUCAAGCCACUCUACUGCCCCUCAAGUUGAGGAAGACUUUCUCCACCAUCAUUCACAAAAUUUUAACGCCCAAGUCUCUUCUUAGCUGAAGUGUUAUAGUUGAUGACUAAUGAGCUGGGCUGGAAAAGGUUGCUGGUACCUCCCCAAUUGACCUCGUGGGGAAGAAGGGAGCAGGUGAGUUCCUGG